UACGGAGGAUCCAAGCGUUAUCCGGAAUCAUUGGGUUUAAAGGGUCCGUAGGCGGUUUGGUAAGUCAGUGGUGAAAGCCCAUCGCUCAACGGUGGAACGGCCAUUGAUACUGCCAGACUUGAAUUAUUAGGAAGUAACUAGAAUAUGUAGUGUAGCGGUGAAAUGCUUAGAGAUUACAUGGAAUACCAAUUGCGAAGGCAGCUUACUACACGAAAAUUGACACUGAGGCACGAAAGCGUGGGGAUCAAACAGG
rnacentral:rRNA from 1 species